CGCGGUAAAACCAGCUCUCCGAGUGGUAGGGAUGAUUAUUGGGCUUAAAGCGUCCGUAGCCGGCCUGUCAAGUCUCCCGUUAAAUCCAGCGGCUCAAUCGUUGGGCUGCGGGAGAUACUGCAGAGCUAGGGGGCGGGAGAGGUCGACGGUACUCUCGGGGUAGGGGUGAAAUCCUAUAAUCCCGGGAGGACCACCAGUGGCGAAGGCGGUCGGCUAGAACGCGCUCGACGGUGAGGGACGAAAGCUGGGGGAGCGAACCGGAUUAGAUACCCGGGUAGUCCCAGCUGUAAACGAUGCAGGCUAGGUGUUGGGGUGGCUCGAGGCCACUUCAGUGCCGCAGGGAAGCCGUUAAGCCCGCCGCCUGGGGAGUACGGCCGCAAGGCUGAAACUUAAAGGAAUUGGCGGGGGAGCACCACAAGGGGUAAGCUGCGGUC
rnacentral:rRNA from 1 species